GGAAGGAAGGGAGGGAGGAGGAAGCAGGCAGCAGACCCUCUGCCCAGACCAGACCAUCCAGAACAGCUAUUGCUAGUGAGAGAGAGUCUCGGACUAUGUGCAAUUCUUCCUCCUCCACUCCACUCUGAAGCUAGCAAACCCUGAUCUCUCUCUUCAUCUGAACAUACUCUUUCUUUCAGAUGUGAUGAAGGAGAUCCCUGACACGUUCUCCCAGCAUGUGUUUCUUUAAAGGAUUGGCCAGGACUUGGAGGUGCUGGUGGAGGAGGAUCAACCCUUUCCCAUGCACCAUUCCUCCAACUUAAAUCUUCCCUUCCUGAAGUUGCCAUUAGCCAUGAAAGGGGGAAAAACAGGUUCAAUAUGGGUACCAAUCUCCAGGGAGAAGAUAUAAGACAGGGAAACAGCUCAAAGGGAAGAGGUUCUAUGGCAUCACAGCCCUGAUCAAAUCAGUCUCCUCCAUGUUCACACACACAGUGCUGCUUUUAACCAAAGAAAAAGAAGUACUGGCAAGAACUAAUCUGCCCACUUUCCUUUAUCUUAAUUGAUAAUUACCAAUUUCCACCUCAAACAUUCACACAACCAUCAUCUUGAAUUGAGGUGGAUGACACCACAAACUAUGCCGUUGGUGUGCCCCUAUGUGUGCUUACAACUGUACUAAAUUUAAUCCAAGUUGGUUCCCACUUGUGCCUCAAACAUUCUUGUGUCUGCCAUCUUAAUUUGGGAUGGGUGGCAUCAUUACAAACUACACCACUGAGGUGUCCCUAUGUCCCUACAACAGUACCAAAUUUGGUUCAAAUUAGUUCAGGCACUGCAAAGU